rnacentral:rRNA from 1 species
GACGAGGGGUCCUAGCGUUGUUCGGAAUCAUUGGGCGUAAAGCGGGUGUAGGUGGCUCUAUAAGUCAGGAGUGAAAGCCCCGAGCUUAACUUGGGAAGUGCUUUUGAUACUGUAGAGCUUGAAUGUGGGAGAGGAUCGUGGAAUUCCAGGUGUAGUGGUGAAAUACGUAGAUAUCUGGAGGAACACCGGUGGCGAAGGCGGCGAUCUGGCCCAACAUUGACACUGAGACCCGAAAGCGUGGGGAUCAAACAGG